CAGAGUAGAGACUGGGCGUGGUUUAGACUCACCCAGCCGAUCGUUGAUUGUUGGCGCCUAGCUGGUCCCGCCCCCGGGCGCUCCAGUUGAGAGAUGUAACUGUUGCUGUGUAGAGUAUCUAUGCGCUCAUGCUCGACACCGUUAUCUCCCUCCUGUUAUCUGUUCUCGCAACACUACGUUCUGAAUGUGCCCCCCCAACUCAUUGCACAGUUCCUGUCUUCAUGUUAUUCUGUAUUUUUCCAUCAUGAGAAAGGCCCAUGGCCCUGAAACUGUUAACAAUGUUUCAAGUCAGCUAUGUUGCAUAACACAUACAUACAUCCACACAAGCCAACAGCAGAUAAUAUUCAAUCACAUAUAUGGUAACGGGCUAUAGUGCAUAACACAGAAUCCUCAUACUUCCUACUGUAACGGCGCUUUUUAAGGGCUUAAGUUACCUGCCUCUCAAGUUGCAACGCCUGGUGAAUGAUCUACCUGUGUAGUUCCAUGAAUCUAAGUCCUCUGCCCCUGUAUUGACCGAGUGCCUGUGUGUUUUAUUAAGUUGUUGGAAUGGCUGUUUUUGUGGUGUAGGGAGCUGGGCUUGGAUGAGCUGCUAAGGCACUGUGAGCGUGUGGUGGAGAAGCUGCGCUACCCUGAGAAUGACUCGUGCUAUCAGACAAUGGCCGGGACGGCCCUCUUCACCCACACAGCUUUCAAUAUGCUGCAGAACUACAGCAGGCCGCUGUGCUGAGGAUGUGAUCCACACGUUAGCUGACACUCUGCUUCCUGGUGAUGCCCAGACCAGGGUAGAGUGGGUGCAGGAUCCGGACAGACUGAAGGAGAACAUCCACUCUGCUGUAGAGCACCCUCAUCAGACCCUCGGAGCAGUCGCCGACUUCGACCACUACUACAACAAAGCCAAUAGCUGGUACAGCAUCGUCCUGUGUGAGAACUUUCUCCAAGACCUUCUGUGGGGUGUGAACUGUGACAGCCUCCCCAAAUGGUACCACCCGCUGGAGAUGCAUGGCCCUGACCCUGUGUGGAGGCAGGCGGUCUGUGACUUCCUGAGAAGGAACCCCUCCCCAGACAUAGAGGAGCUGGUCCAGCUGGCUCACCUGGCCAAUGUCAUCCCUGACGCCCAGCUCUAGCAGAAGGGCAAACAGCUGUCACAAAGGUGCAUGACCCUGCGAAAACUCCUGACUUCUCCAGGGGCAGUACCUAUCAACAACUUCCAGUUGGCACUGCAGUGGCAGUAUGAGUUUCUGAGAGCCCGCCACAGGAAAGGGCCUGGGCCACACACUAACCUGGGUGUGGGUGGAGGCCCCGAGGCCUUUAACAGUCCAGACGGGGCAUUAUGUAGUCUCCAUAAAACCUCUGGUUCCAGAUCAGACUGAUAACCUGCACAGCCAUGGCUCCCUCUCUAACCUCAAACACCAAGUCCUUCUAGGUACGUCCCCCUCCAGUGCUAUCUCUGGGGCUGUGUCAGCUGUGGGGAAUACUCGCUCUCUCAG
rnacentral:lncRNA from 1 species